AAUGAAUGCUUGCGGUAUGCUUAACACAUGCAAGUCAAACGUUAACUUAUAUUUAGUUCAACGUGGCACACGGGUGCAUAACGCGUGGGAAUUUACCUAGUAGUUUGGAAUAUUUAUAUUGUCUUCGGAUGAGAAAACAUGGUUUAAUACUAUGUGUAAUAAUACCAAAUAAUGAAUAAAGAUUGAUCGCUGCUAAAUAAGCCUGCGUAGAAUUAGGUAGUUGGUAGGGUAANAGCCUACCAAGCCAACGAUUUUUAG
rnacentral:rRNA from 1 species